GAUGAAGAGCGUAGCGAAAUGCGAUAAGUAGUGUGAAUUGCAGAAUUCAGUGAAUCAUCGAAUCUUUGAACGCACAUUGCGCCCCUUGGUAUUCCAUGGGGCAUGCCUGUUCGAGCGUCAUUUGUACCUUCAAGCUCUGCUUGGUGUUGGGUGUUUGUCUCGCCUCUGCGUGUAGACUCGCCUCAAAACAAUUGGCAGCCGGCGUAUUGAUUUCGGAGCGCAGUACAUCUCGCGCUUUGCACUCAUAACGACGACGUCCAAAAGUACAUUUUUACACUCUUGACCUCGGAUCAGGUAGGGAUACCCGCUGAACUUAAGCAUAUCAAUAAGCGGAGGA
rnacentral:misc_RNA from 1 species